GGGGGCGACCAGGCUUCGACGGGGGUCGUGAAAUCGGAGGUGCGUGUCGAGGGGGCAGCUUUCCUCGUAAAUCCAGCGGCAAAACAGCUAGUUGCGAACGACGACAACUACGCACUGGCCGCCUAAAUAGGCCAGUCCGUCCCCCAUCGGUGCCUGUAACGGCGGAUCGGACGGUCAUAUUUACAGGAUCGCUACGGCAUGGCUGUCUGUCAGCGUCGAGCUAAAAGGAACAGACUGGUUCGGUGGCGUUCUUUGUGCGCCGUGUUUCCAUCGAACAAGAUCAAACGGCGUACUACACACGUAGAUCCAAAGACGUAAUGCCUUCGGACGGGGGUUCGAUUCCCCCCGCCUCCACCA
rnacentral:tmRNA from 2 species